rnacentral:pre_miRNA from 1 species
UCCCUGUCCUCCAGGAGCUCACGUAUGCCUGCUUGUGAGCGCCUCGAUGACAGAGCCG